rnacentral:rRNA from 1 species
GAUGAACGCUGGCGGCGUGCCUAAUACAUGCAAGUCGAACGAAACUUCUUUAUCACCGAGUGCUUGCACUCACCGAUAAAGAGUUGAGUGGCGAACGGGUGAGUAACACGUGGGCAACCUGCCCAAAAGAGGGGGAUAACACUUGGAAACAGGUGCUAAUACCGCAUAACCAUAGUUACCGCAUGGUAACUAUGUAAAAGGUGGCUAUACUACCGCUUUUGGAUGGGCCCGCGGCGCAUUAGCUAGUUGGUAGGGUAAAGGCUUACCAAGGCAAUGAUGCGUAGCCGAAUUGAGAGGUUGAUCGGCCACAUUGGGACUGAGACACGGCCCAAACUCCUACGGGAGGCAGCAGUAGGGAAUCUUCCACAAUGGACGAAAGCCUGAUGGAGCAACGCCGCGUGGGUGAAGAAGGUCUUCGGAUCGUAAAACCCUGUUGUUAGAGAAGAAAGUGCGUGAGAGUAACUGUUCACGUUUCGACGGUAUCUAACCAGAAAGCCACGGCUAACUACGUG